rnacentral:rRNA from 1 species
AUUGAACGCUGGCGGCAUGCUUUACACAUGCAAGUCGAACGGUAACAGGGUGCUUGCACCGCUGACGAGUGGCGAACGGGUGAGUAAUGCGUCGGAACGUGCCGAGUAGUGGGGGAUAACGCAGCGAAAGUUGUGCUAAUACCGCAUAGGUACUGAGGUAGAAAGUGGGGGACCUUCGGGCCUCACGCUAUUCGAGCGGCCGACGUCUGAUUAGCUAGUAGGUGAGGUAAAGGCUCACCUAGGCGACGAUCAGUAGCGGGUCUGAGAGGAUGAUCCGCGACACUGGGACUGAGACACGGCCCAGACUCCUACGGGAGGCAGCAGUGGGGAAUUUUGGACAAUGGGCGCAAGCCUGAUCCAGCAAUGCCGCGUGCAGGAAGAAGGCCUUCGGGUUGUAAACUGCUUUUGUACGGAACGAAACGGUCCUGGUUAAUACCCGGGGCUAAUGACGGUACCGUAAGAAUAAGCACCGGCUAACUACGUGCCAGCAGCCGCCGUAA